rnacentral:rRNA from 1 species
UACGUAGGGGGCAAGCGUUGUCCGGAAUUAUUGGGCGUAAAGCGCGCGCAGGCGGUCUUUUAAGUCUGAUGUGAAAUCUCGCGGCUCAACCGUGAGCGGUCAUUGGAAACUGGGAGACUUGAGUGCAGAAGAGAAGAGCGGAAUUCCACGUGUAGCGGUGAAAUGCGUAGAGAUGUGGAGGAACACCAGUGGCGAAGGCGGCUCUUUGGUCUGUAACUGACGCUGAGGUGCGAAAGCGUGGGGAGCGAACAGG